CGCAGAGACAGCCAGGAGGUUGGCUUAGAAGCAGCCACCCUUGAAAGAGUGCGUAAUAGCUCACUGGUCGAGUGAUUCUGCGCCGACAAUGUAGCGGGGCUCAAGUACACCGCCGAAGUCGUGUCACUGACCCUUGUGGUUGGUGGGUAGGGGAGCGUCGUGUGUUGGGUGAAGCAGCCGUGGAAACGUGUUGUGGACGGCAUGCGAGUGAGAAUGCAGGCAUGAGUAGCGUUACACACGUGAGAAACGUGUGCGCCGAUUGACUAA
rnacentral:rRNA from 1 species